GGGUAAUCUUUUCAAAGUGCAUCGUGCUGGGGAUAGAUUAUUGUAAUUUUUAAUCUUGAACGAGGAAUUCCUAGUAAACGCAAGUCAUCAACUUGCAUUGAUUACGUCCCUGCCCUUUGUACAC
rnacentral:rRNA from 1 species